rnacentral:rRNA from 1 species
UAUAAGUAUAAACGAUUCAAUCGUGAAACCGCGAACGGCUCAUUAUAACAGCUAUAAUUUACUUGAUCUUGACAAUCCUACUUGGAUAACUGUGGUAAUUCUAGAGCUAAUACAUGCACCAAAGCUCUGACCUUACGGGAAGAGUGCAUUUAUUAGAACAAAACCAAGCGGCUUCGGUCGUUUUUUGUUGACUCAGAAUAACUAAGCUGAUCGCAUGGUCUUGUACCGGCGACGUGUCUUUCAAGUAUCUGCCUUAUCAACUUUCGAUGGUAGUGUAUCUGACUACCAUGGUUGUGACGGGUAACGGAGGAUAAGGGUUCGACUCCGGAGAAGGGGCCUGAGAAAUGGCCACUACGUCUAAGGAUGGCAGCAGGCGCGCAAAUUACCCACUCUCAGAACGAGGAGGUAGUGACGAGAAAUAACGAGACCGUUCUCUACGAGGCCGGUCAUCGGAAUGGGUACAAUCUAAA